AUUUAAAAUGUAUUUAUUAAUAUUAAAGUAGUAUUAGUUAUGUUCUUGAAACUUAAAAAAUUUGGCGGUAUUUUAGUCUAUUCAGAGGAACCUGUUCUAUAAUCGAUAAUCCACGAUGGACCUUACUUAAAUUUGUUAAUCAGUUUAUAUACCGUCGUUAUUAGAAUAUUUUAUAAGAAUAAUAAUUUUCAUAAAAUUUAAUUAAAAUAUAUAUCAGAUCAAGGUGUAGCUUAUGUUUAAGAAGAAAUGGGUUACAAUAAAAUUAUUUAUACGGAUAUAAAUAUGAAAAAUUUAUUGAAGGUGGAUUUGAUAGUAAAAUUAUAAAGAUAAAUAGUUUGAUUUUAGCUCUAAAAUAUGU
rnacentral:rRNA from 1 species